UGGGGGAUAUUGCACAAUGGGCGAAAGCCUGAUGCAGCGACGCCGCGUGGGGGAUGAAGGCUUUCGGGUUGUAAACCUCUUUCGCUAUCGAACAAGGCCCGCUUAGGGUGGGUUGAGGGUAGGUGGAGAAGAAGCGCCGGCUAACUACGUGCCAGCAGCCGCGGUAAUACGUAGGGCGCGAGCGUUGUCCGGAAUUAUUGGGCGUAAAGGGCUUGUAGGCGGCUUGUUGCGCCUGCUGUGAAAACGCGGGGCUUAACUUCGCGCGUGCAGUGGGUAAGGGCAGGCUUGAGUGUGGUAGGGGUGACCGGAAUUCCAGGUGUAGCGGUGGAAUGCGCAGAUAUCUGGAGGAACACCGAUGGCGGAGGCAGGUCACUGGGCCAUUACUGACGCUGAGGAGCGAAAGCAUGGGUAGCGAACAGG
rnacentral:rRNA from 1 species